AACGUAGGAGACGAACGUUAUCCGGAGUUACUGGGCGUAAAGGGCGCGUAGGCGGCAUGACAAGUCACUUGUGAAAUCUCCGGGCUUAACUCGGAACGGUCAAGUGAUACUGUCGCGCUAGAGUGCGGAAGGGGCAAUCAGAAUUCUUGGUGUAGCGGUGAAAUGCGUAGAUAUCAAGAGGAAUACCUGAGGUGAAGACGGGUUGCUAGGCCGACACUGACGCUGAAGCGCGAAAGCCAGGGGAGCAAACGGG
rnacentral:rRNA from 1 species